CUCUAAUGUACUUUAUAGGUAUUAUAGCUAUUUGUUUCUAAGUCUUAUUCUUCUCAAGGUUGCAGACUUCCUCUGGUCUAGAGCUGUCUUAUCAAUACAGGUCAUCACCUUUCAUUUAACAGAGUGCUCUAUACACCUUCAACAAGAAGUAUCCAGAGAAAGAAUGGGUGGUUUUGCUUAUCUAAUUGCCCUGUUUUGUAUUUUAAAAACAUGAAUGUUUUAUUUUACAUGUAAUAACAAUUUUCACCCAAGUUUUCUGAAGUUAUAAGAUCUGCAUUGUCUUCCUCCCUCCCUUUUCUUCCCCUUCCUGGAGAUGGUAAGCAAUUUGAUCUUGGCUAUACAUGUAUUACCAUGCAAAACAUAUUUCCACAUUGUUCAUUGUUGUAAUAAAAUACUCAUAAAACCCUCCCCCCAAAACCAAAUAAACUAAAGUGAAAAAUCAUACACUUUGAUCUGUAAGACCUUCUGUCUUAAGAUCACUUCUAUGUAAGGAUUAGGCAAUUGGGGUUAAGUGAUUUGCCCAGGGUCCACAAGUGUCUGGGGUCAUAUUUGAACCUAGUUCCUCCAGACUCCAGGACUGACUCUGUAUCCAUUAAGCUAUCUCAUUGCCCCUAGGUAUUUUUAAUGCAGAAAAGUGGGUUUCAAUUGAUGAACAGCUGAACAAAUUGUGAUAUGUAAAUAUAAUGGAAUAUUAGUGUGCCACAGAAGAGGGUGAUUUUAGAGAAAUCUGGGAAGAUUUAUGUGAACAGAUGCAGAAUGAAGUGAACAGAACCAAAAGAAUAAUUUAUACAAUUAAUGACUGUAAAAAUGAACAAUGUGCAAUGACUUACGAAUUCUAAUUAAUACAGUUACUAAUCAUUAUUCCAGAGGAGCAAUGAUGAAGGCAAUUCUACAGAGAGAAGUGAUAGACUUCAUAUGUAGAGAAUGAGACAUAUGCUUUAUGGCCAACAUUGGCAUUUCUUUUGUUUCACUGUACAUAUUUGUUACAAGGUUCUCUCUGUCUCUCUCCUCUUCUCUCCCUUCCUCUUUCUCUCUCUGUGUCUCUGUCUCUUUGCCUUUCUUUCUGUCUCUCUCUCUCCCACCCCUUUUCUCCCUUCCUCUCUCUAUCUGUCUCUCUUUCCCUCUUAUCUCUCUUCCCCUUACUCUCUUUCUUCCCCCUUUCCUAUUUUUCAGAAAAAAUAAAUGCUCUUCUACUGAAAAAAAAAAGAAAAAAAAAAAAAAGUUUAAUGGGGAUAUGCAAUUCAGA
rnacentral:lncRNA from 1 species